AGAAGUGUUAGUUUCUUUAGGAAUGAGGCAGGUGUUGGGGACACCCACCCUUAAAAAUUUAAGCUAGCUGUUGAAUGACAUUCAGUUUGGGAGUAGAAAAGAUGGGGACUGAAGAGAUAGUCAUUCCAGAUUGUAGGAAUUGAAUGAGCAUAGGAAGAAUCUUAUUUCAGGAACUUUGAGAGUUGAGGCUAGAAAGUUAGAGAAGUCAUUAAGCUGUGAAAGGCUUUAAGUAAACACCCUGCUCAAAAGAAAGAUGUUGGGAAGUAUCUGUAGACUUUGGGCUUUGAAGAUUUCAAAACACGUUUGUAACAUGAUGAAGCAUGAUUUUAUAAAAACAGCUUAGCAAUCAGAAUGAUGGAUGGAUUAGGAUAGUGGGCAGGAUUACUUAUGAGCUAAUGACUCACUAAGGAUGUGGCAUUGAGAAAAGAGAGGGACAGGAAUUGUUGAAGGACAUUUUUUCAUAGACUCAAAGGGGCAUGGCAACCAAAUGAUUGGCUCUAAAGUUGAAUUAGAAGAAUGUAAUCAAAACGAUACUAAGAUUCCAGAGUUCCUAAGUAUGUGAAACUACUGUUGUCUGAAAUGGCAAAAAAGUGAAAAAU
rnacentral:lncRNA from 1 species